rnacentral:tRNA from 2 species
AAUUGAUUAGUCUAAACUUAAGACAUUUGUUUUGAAUACAAAUAAUGAUAGUUAAAUAACAUCAUCAAUUU